AUGAGCGGUAGCGGAGCGUUCCGUAAGUCUGUGAAGGCGGACCCGUGAGGGCUGCUGGAGAUAUCGGAAGUGCGAAUGCUGACAUGAGUAGCGUUAAAGGGGGUGAAAAGCCCCCUCGCCGAAAGCGCAAGGUUUCCUACGCAACGUUCAUCGGCGUAGGGUGAGUCGGCCCCUAAGGCGAGGCAGAGAUGCGUAGCUGAUGGGAAACAGGUCAAUAUUCCUGUACCGAUGUGUAGUGCGAUGUGGGGACGGAGAAGGUUAACUCGGCCGGGUGUUGGAUGUCCCGGUUCAAGCGUGUAGGUUGGUUCUUUAGGCAAAUCCGGAGAGCUAAGACUGAGACGUGAUAACGAGCGUACUUGUACGUGAAGUGAUUGAUACCAUGCUUCCAAGAAAAGCCACUAAGCUUCAGUUGUAUAGAGACCGUACCGCAAACCGACACAGGUGGGCAGGAUGAGAAUUCUAAGGCGCUUGAGAGAACCCGGGAGAAGGAACUCGGCAAAUUAGCACCGUAACUUCGGGAGAAGGUGCGCCCCGGUAACGUGUAUAGACUUGCUCUAGAAGCGUGAUGGGGUUGCAGUGAAAAGGUGGCUGCGACUGUUUAAUAAAAACACAGCACUCUGCAAACACGAAAGUGGACGUAUAGGGUGUGACGCCUGCCCGGUGCUGGAAGAUUAAAUGAUGGGGUGCAAGCUCUUGACUGAAGUCCCAGUAAACGGCGGCCGUAACAAUAACGGUCCUAAGGUAGCGAAAUUCCUUGUCGGGUAAGUUCCGACCCGCACGAAUGGCGUAACGAUGGCCACACUGUCUCCUCCAGAGACUCAGCGAAGUUGAAAUGUUUGUGAUGAUGCAAUCUCCCCGCGGAAAGACGGAAAGACCCCAUGAACCUUUACUGUAGCUUUACAUUGGACUUUGAACAGAUCUGUGUAGGAUAGGUGGGAGGCUUUGAAGCGGUGCCGCUAGGUGUCGUGGAGCCAACGUUGAAAUACCACCCUGGUGUGUUUGAGGUUCUAACCUAGGUCCAUUAUCUGGAUCGGGGACAGUGCAUGGUAGGCAGUUUGACUGGGGCGGUCUCCUCCCAAAGCGUAACGGAGGAGUUCGAAGGUACGCUAGUUACGGUCGGACAUCGUGACGAUAGUGCAAUGGCAUAAGCGUGCUUAACUGCGAGACUGACAAGUCGAGCAGGUACGAAAGUAGGACAA
rnacentral:rRNA from 1 species